AUAUGGGUACUGUAUUAAUUACUUCUUUCCUACUGGUUACCUCGACUCUGUUAGUGGAGUAGUGUCGCAAGGCAUCGCUUAGUAUUUUUAUUGCUUUUAGAUGUAGUAAUUGGGUAAAACUGGUUAUGAAACCUAAGGGAUCACAGUAAGGUAUUAAGUGGGGUUCCAGUUCAUUUACUUUGAGUAAAUUAGAGUGUUCAAAGCAGCCUGUAUGGGCAUUGAAUAGAUUAGCAUGGGAUAAUAGAAUAGGAUUCUUAUCUAUUUAUUGGUUUAUAGACUUAGAAUAAUGAUUAAUAGGGAUAGUUGGGGGCACUUGUAUUCAAUAGUCAGAGGUGAAAUUCUAGGAUUUAUUGAAGACAAACUUCAGCGAAAAGCAUUUGCCAAGGAUGUUUUCAUUAAUCAAGAACGAAAGUUAGGGGGAUCGAAGACGAUUAGACACCGUCGUAGUCUUAACUAUAAACUAUGCCGACCAGGG
rnacentral:rRNA from 1 species